GGCGGUGUAGCUCAGCUGGUUAGAGCACACGGUUCAUACCCGUGGCGUCACUGGUUCGAAUCCAGUCACCGCUACCC
rnacentral:tRNA from 1 species